rnacentral:rRNA from 1 species
UGGGGAAUAUUGGACAAUGGGGGCAACCCUGAUCCAGCGAUGCCGCGUGAGUGAAGAAGGCCUUCGGGUCGUAAAGCUCUUUAGGUUGGGAAGAAGUGCAUUCGGUGAAUAUCCGAGUGUGUUGACGGUACCGACAGAAUAAGCACCGGCAAACUCUGUGCCAGCAGCCGCGGUAAUACAGAGGGUGCGAGCGUUAAUCGGAGUUACUGGGCGUAAAGGGCGCGUAGGCGGUAAGAUGUGUGUGGUGUGAAAGCCCCGGGCUUAACCUGGGAAGUGCAUCGCAAACUAUCUAACUGGAGUAGAUGAGAGGGUGGCGGAAUUUCCGGUGUAGCGGUGAAAUGCGUAGAGAUCGGAAGGAACGUCAAUGGCGAAGGCAGCCACCUGGCAUCAUACUGACGCUGAGGCGCGAAAGCGUGGGGAGCGAACA